ensembl:processed_transcript Gm10030 predicted gene 10030
AUGUGGCCCACAGAGAGAAGAGCCCCAGCCUGGCUCUGAGUCCACAUGCAAGGAAGGGCGACCAUGCCCAGAAGAGGAGACGAAUCUCCAUUGUGACGUUGCUAGAAGAUGCUUGGUGGGACAAUGUAGAAGGUUUCCUCCCUGGUUUCAGAGCAGGCUGCUGCAGUGCUGGGACUACGAACACGCCACCAUGCCCAGACUUAUUUCUUUCCAUAUGGAGUUGGAGAUCAAACUCAGGCCUCCACACUUUUGAGGUUACCUCCCUCCCCCAGCUUCCACCUGCCUUUAGCAAGGGACACCUUCCAUGA